GACAGUGGGAAUUUAUUUUUCAGGACGAAAGUUCUAUUUAUAGAGCCACUGUUAACACUUUUAUAUUCUGUACUCUGUGACAUUUUGUGUUGCUUGCAGAAAACUCUAUAUACAUGUAUUAGAAGCCAAAAAUCUGAUCUAUAAAUAGCCAGACCUGACAUGUAGAGAAUAUUUGGAGGAAUCAUGUCCAUGAAAAUGAAGGUGAUGUCUAAAAGCUUGAACCCACAGUGGAAUGAGAUGGUUAAGCUGGAGAAUAUGAAGUCUGGGGAUCUUCAUAUAAAAGUAAAACCUAUCAAGCCAAGCUGGAAAAAUUUUGGCUCCUUGUGGUUUUCAUUUGAAGAUGGAGCACCAAAAGAGAUCUGGAUUCCAUUGUCCCAUGGAUAAGGUUUUAAUUGUUCUGGUCCAAUACUUGUUCUGGUGCAUCUAACUGAAAACUUUCUGCAACCUUGAGGCACUGGAAAGAAGUGUUAACCUACAUUCAAGCCUUUGAUUUCAUUGAAUCUGCAUUGGGCAGAUAUAAAAAGACCAAUGGGGGAAUAUAAUAAAAGUCAGUAACGGAAAAACUUUUUGCAAAUGUAUACUUUUGCAUGAACAAAUUUUAUUAUAGAUUUUGUGAGCCCAGAAAACAGUUUAGCGUAACACUUUGUACAGUGGAAGAAAGAUUGAGAAUUUUAUAGUUUGUGUCAGUGUGCAUUGUAUGUAAUAGAACUUCUUACUCAUAAAGUUGUUAUAUACAGUAUGCUCCAAAAGAUUACGCCACCUUCAAGCACUUCUUAAAAGGGUGCAAUGAGCAAUUAAAAUUCACAAUUACAUUACAACAGUCUAAGCAAGAAUAAUACAUUGCGAAAUGUGAAUUUUUAUUGUUAUUUGGGCAAAAAAUAAUAAUUCUCUUUGUGACUUUUAUUACACCCCCCCCCCAAGGGUAUAAUAAAAUAACAGGUGCAAAAUGUGCCUGACUUUUCAUAAGCCUUAGCAACCAGCUGGGAGCUUACUUUAAAAGACUACACCAAUACAUGCCAUUGGCAGAGUGGUUACUAGGAGCAAUUCGACAUAAACUUUGCACCUGUGAUAUUACAAAGCCCCUUAGCAGACAGUUAUUAUUUCUAUGAGAAAAAGUGGCUAUAUAGAUGGAAUAAUCAAUUAUAGUAUGUAAAGAAAAGAGACUAGGAGGAUAGAGGUUGAGUGAGGUGAGGACGAAUAAUAGUACUGAGAGUGAGCCCCUGGUUUUUGGGUGGGCCCCUGGUAUCCCAGUCCAACACUGUGCAAGUGUAUGCCCUUAUCUCUUAAAAUUGAGCUUCCAGCUGGACAUAGGUAAGUAAACAUUAAAGGAGAUGGAUGAGGGCAUUAGAUAUACACUGAAUCCAGGACACCACUUUUAUUGGGACAUUGGUGAACCUUGUAAUAAACAUUAUAGAUGAGAAAAAACUUUACUGAAACAAUGCAAAAAUAAUGUAUCUUCAAAAGUGCUGGAAAUUAAAGAAUAUCUGUAAUUUUAACUGGUAAUCAUUUAAAGGGGUUUUAAGCUUAAUUGUUAAAUCAUGUUUAUUAAACUAAAUGUAAGCAGUAAGCACCAAUGUAAAAUGAAAGCAUUGCAAUUUGCAAUUAAAGGAGAACAAAGCCUAAAUCAGUACAGUUUUGCCUUACAAUGGAUCACAAUAUGGAUUGCAAUAGAGAUGGAUUACAAUAGAGAUGAGAUCAGAGAUAUAG